rnacentral:rRNA from 1 species
GGUAAUACGUAGNUCCCGAGCGUUGUCCGGAUUUAUUGGGCGUAAAGCGAGCGCAGGCGGUUAGAUAAGUNUGAAGUUAAAGGCUGUGGCUUAACCAUAGUACGCUUUGGAAACUGUUUAACUUGAGUGCAGAAGGGGAGAGUGGAAUUCCAUGUGUAGCGGUGAAAUGCGUAGAUAUANGGAGGAACACCGGUGGCGAAGGCGGCUCUCUGGUCUGUAACUGACGCUGAGGCUCGAAAGCGUGGGGAGCGAACAGGAUUAGAUACCCUGGUAGUCCACGCCGUAAACGAUGAGUGCUAGGUGUUAGGCCCUUUCCGGGGCUUAGUGCCGCAGCUAACGCAUUAAGCACUCCGCCUGGGGAGUACGACCGCAAGGUUGAAACUCAAAGGAAUUGACGGGGGCCCGCACAAGCGGUGGAGCAUGUGGUUUAAUUCGAAGCAACGCGAAGAACCUUACCAGGUCUUGACAUCCCGAUGCCCGCUCUAGAGAUAGAGUUUUACUUCGGUACAUCGGUGACAGGUGGUGCAUGGUUGUCGUCAGCUCGUGUCGUGAGAUGUUGGGUUAAGUCCCGCAACGAGCGCAACCCUUAUUGUUAGUUGCCAUCAUUCAGUUGGGCACUCUAGCGAGACUGCCGGUAAUAAACCGGAGGAAGGUGGGGAUGACGUCAAAUCAUCAUGCCCCUUAUGACCUGGGCUACACACGUGCUACAAUGGCUGGUACAACGAGUCGCAAGUCGGUGACGGCAAGCUAAUCUCUUAAAGCCAGUCUCGGUUCGGAUUGUAGGCUGCAACUCGCUUACAUGAAGUCGGAAUCGCUAGUAAUCGCGGAUCAGCACGCCGCGGUGAAUACGUUCCCGGGCCUUGUACACACCGCCCGUCACACCACGAGAGUUUGUAACACCCGAAGUCGGUGAGGUAACCUUUUAGGAGCCAGC